AAGUAGAUCAUUGGUGGGAAGGUCUAAAGGGAGAUCGUUGGUGGGAAGGUCUAAAGGGAGAUCGUUGGUGGAAAGGUCUAAAGGGAGAUGAUCAUUGGUGGGAAGGUCUAAAGGGAGAUCGUUGGUGAGAAGGUCUAAAGGGAGAUCGUUGGUCUUCUAAAUUAGCAAGACCAGAGUGCUGGUUUCUAAGGACUUGCUCAGCUGGUUUGCUACUUUGAGAAAGUCACCCAAUCCUCAUCUACUAAGACCAUAACAAUAUGUUGUCAUGGAAAUGAGGAUCCCUGAGAGAUAACAAUAGAUCUGGACACCAGGAGUUCUUCAGCUGUCCUAGCUACUGGAGAGGAUCAUUUGAGCCAGGUGGAGAGCCUGAACCAAACAUGGUAAAUGUGAUCCUCACUCUUCAUCAAGGGAACUUCUCUUUUCAGUGAAGACCAUUGUUAGAAAUCCACAAGCAAUCAAAAUGCAGAGAUGUGGAGCCCAGUCCCAGUUGGUACAUCUACAGAACACUUCUGCACUUAAGAAUAGUGAGGAAAAGGGGACAGAAAACAACUAAAAACCAAAGGACCAGGCAGUUUCCGCGAGACCAUGUCUCCUAGCAAUGUGUGAUCUAUGCCCAUGAAGUCACCAGCAUGACUGCCUAAACAAGAGCUAAACACGGACAGCAAUCAUAGACGUGCCAAAGUAGACAGGGAAAUCCCAUGAGCACUCAACCCUACACAAUAAUUACAGUUAGCUAAGGAAUUCUGAAAGCAGGGGAAAUGGCCUCACCUAGGGAAGAACACACAGGUUGGUUAUCUAACACCGCAUGGUCAGUCCUGAAGGCAGACAUAUGAGUAACAUUAUACAGAUUCAGCUGGUUAUAUUCAGUAAUAUAUACAUAUAUGCAUGUACAUAUAUAUAUGUAUAUAUAUGCUUGUCACAGUAAUUAAUGAAAUGAGAUCAUUAAUAUGAGAACAAAGAGAAGCAUUUGGGAGAGUUUGAAGGGAGGAAGGGGAAGAGAAAAAUGACAUGAUUACAUUUUAACCUCAAAAAUAAACAAACAAAAUACUGAGGAUGGCCUCAGAGCCAUGGCUUGCUGCUCCUGUUGUUUGACUCUCCACCCAGAUAAAUGCAAGUUCAGUCCCUUCUUUCAAGUCAUACCUCAAAUGUGACAUUGUCGCAGAGGCCUUCUCCUGCUAUUUGUUUGUUAUUGAGAUGGAUCUCACUAUGAUUCCCACAGUAAAAUCUAAUUCAUGGGCCCAAGUGAUGCUCCUACUUCAGGUCUCCCAAGUAGCUGGAGCUAGAGAUUCCAUCUACCUCACCUUGCUGUCAUUUACCCUAAAUAAAAUGACGCUUCCUGAGCUGGGAAGAUGGUUCAAUGAUUAAAACCACUGGCUGCUCAUC